GACGAACGCUGGCGGCGUGCCUAAUACAUGCAAGUAGGACGCACAGUUUAUACCGUAGCUUGCUACACCAUAGACUGUGAGUUGCGAACGGGUGAGUAACGCGUAGGUAACCUGCCUAUUAGAGGGGGAUAACUAUUGGAAACGAUAGCUAAUACCGCAUAACAGUAUGUAACACAUGUUAGAUGCUUGAAAGAUGCAACUGCAUCGCUAGUAGAUGGACCUGCGUUGUAUUAGCUAGUAGGUAGGGUAAUGGCCUACCUAGGCGACGAUACAUAGCCGACCUGAGAGGGUGAUCGGCCACACUGGGACUGAGACACGGCCCAGACUCCUACGGGAGGCAGCAGUAGGGAAUCUUCGGCAAUGGGGGGAACCCUGACCGAGCAACGCCGCGUGAGUGAAGAAGGUUUUCGGAUCGUAAAGCUCUGUUGUUAAGGAAGAACGAGUGUGAAAAUGGAAAGUUCAUACUGUGACGGUACUUAACCAGAAAGGGACGGCUAACUACGUGCCAGCAGCCGCGGUAAUACGUAGGUCCCGAGCGUUGUCCGGAUUUAUUGGGCGUAAAGCGAGCGCAGGCGGUUAGAAAAGUCUGAAGUGAAAGGCAGUGGCUCAACCAUUGUAGGCUUUGGAAACUGUUUAACUUGAGUGCAGAAGGGGAGAGUGGAAUUCCAUGUGUAGCGGUGAAAUGCGUAGAUAUAUGGAGGAACACCGGUGGCGAAAGCGGCUCUCUGGUCUGUAACUGACGCUGAGGCUCGAAAGCGUGGGGAGCGAACAGG
rnacentral:rRNA from 1 species